rnacentral:lncRNA from 1 species
AAAGGCUUAAGGGAUGCAAACUCUGUGUUAGGAGUUUGUUAUAAGUGUUGUGUAGGCAAAAUGUGUUAAGUGUUGUCUUCAGUCCAAAGGUAAAGUAGAGCUAUUUGCGCUCCAUUUCUAAAAGCUGUUCCAUUCUCUGCAAAAUAAAACAAAAGUAGCAAACUUGGUAUAAGAGAAUGGCAAAGCAAAACAGUUCCAGUCAACAGAAAUGGAGCGUGAAUAGCUCUGCUUUUCUUUUCUUUUUCCUUUUUGUUUUGGGGUUUACUGGUUUUCUCUGAUGAAAAAAAAAUGUCUAGUUUCUUUGAUGUGCCUCUACUCUUUACUUUGGAGUUUAUACACUCACUUGCUAACCAAUGACACAGUGCCACAUCGACAUCUGCCGGAACAAUCACAUAGUUUGAGUGAAUCUAAUCACUAAAUCAGAUCUUGUCUGGUGUUUGUUCUCUGGACUAUGAGGUGGUACUGCCUAAAAAGAUAGCCUGUGACCACCAAGUUAGAAACUUUUCUCUCUUUGCAGUACUUACGAAGUAUAAGGACAGCAGUUGUGGAGAUGGUACGGCAGUGUUAUUAGUAUUACUUACUCUAGAGGGCCCCUAGUGGGUCUGUAAACUACUAGUCAAACGAAAAGCUUUGUUAAAAAAUAAACACAAUCCAUGGGACCAAAAACAACGUAAUAUGAUGUGCCCUAUAUUGCAGUCCAAGGAGACAGGGAAACAAGUCCAGAAGCAGAAGACAGAGUUCACCAAAGGAUGCAGGUUCUCUCCUAGACCUAGUACUAUCCAUUGUAAAAAGAUAGAAAGCUGAUUAUCACAAGCAAAGGCCAAAAAAUGGCAUAUUAUGAAACAAAGUUGAGGAUAUUAGGGGGGUUCACUCUCUUCUCAAUCAGCUAAGCCAUCGAAAAUCUUAAACUACACCCACAAUUAGUAAACUUAUGUAUUUUAUUGCAAGUUGUUAGCAUGAUUGGACAGAUAAGCAAAACAGGCAUUAAUCCUAAUCUAUGAAAAGGAGGCUCUUGGUGUUAAAGCUGCAUAUGAUAUGCCAUAAUGACAUAAUGCCUUCUAAAUUCUUUCUUCCUAGGUGAGGGGCAGUUGGGUAAAUGAAGGAGAGCUAGGGUGGGUUUGGGUAGUUCGAGCAUUGAAACAAAAGGGGGGGCUGUGCAUUAGAUUGAAUGGCCAUUAAAACACACAUAAAUGCAAGAGUAAUUGAGACAGUUGAGAAUAAUGAAGGCAAAAGAAAAAGAGGGUAUCACGUCAAAGAUGAUAAAAGGAAAUUUAAUAUAUCUAACCCUUCAUCCAUCUAUAUUUUUUGUGUUGAAUCCAUUCCUCCGUUUUUCCGCUGCUCUUCUCAUCGCUCACUAAAUGCAACCUUUCUGGCGCCAUACUCAGUUUUGGUAAGUGUAACUGUGAAUGCUUCUGCCUCUCUUCAUAUCCAAUUCCCUUAUUUUCUCUUAGAUCUUUAAGGCCUACACAUGCACUCUCUUAAUCUCGUUCUCUAGUAUCAUAGUAAGUAAACGAACAGAAGCUUAGGGAAGUAUAGAAGACUGUAGAGAUUUGCAAGAGAAGUAUUGCAGCAAGAUUACAAAAAGUUCAAAUUUUUGUCAUUAAACCUCAGAGGGAAUGAAAGUCCUUGGUCAAGUACUUGGAAUGGUCCAACGAAAAUAACAAGUAUUGACAUGCACACACCGACUAAUGAUAAAAAAAAGGGCCAGGUUGAAUCAUGAAGAGAAUAGGAGAGGAAGUGGGACGCAAAAUAGGCUUACCAAUGUUGUCCGCAUGACUUGAAAACGACUGCUAGCUUAUAGGAUUGGGUUGAUUUGUCAUUCUGCAUAAAGCAAUUCAUUAAGUUAACCAUUCGCAGAAAUCAAAUGCAAUUAGUCAACUAGCUAAAUGUAUAUAUAUCUAACUUUAACAGAAGUAAAAAGGUCAGCUGUUUAACCAGUUCUUUUAACUAGCUGAUCAUGGCACCAAAUAAGAGAUUCAUAUUUUCAAAGUCAGAAAGGGGAAAGGGAUUCAAUGCCACCCAUAAGACUAUAAAUGGCUGGAAGAUGAGAAAAGGAAAGAAAUAAAGGAUCUGGAUUUCUAGUGAAAUGAAGUAACUGGUCACGUCCUAUGUUCUAGCUGAUCUAUACUCAACUACAUGCCAUCCUAAUAAGAACUCCCCUCACGCUCUAUAACAUCCUCAUUAAUGCAAUAAUAAAGCAAGAACAUUCCACAGGCAUCAUGUCAAAUCUAAUUUGACUCAUCUAUCGAAACAGUGUGAAUGAAACGUUUACCACUUAGUCAUUCGCAAAUUCAACUUUUCAUAUGAUCAAUUUCUAAUUUUUUUGCCAGUGAUAGUUUACAGAAGUGCUACCUCAAUACAUUACGAGAAAUCAAUGGCUUGCUUGACUACAAGAAGUUACAGAUCUCCAGAACUCCCUACUUCCAUACUUGACCAGCUGCCCUGCAAGUAGGAAUCAUUUAACAUCUGGGUGGAAAAAAAUGUAUUUACGUAGAGCCACAAGGAAGAACCAAGGUUUCACAUCAGGCGAGUAGCUUUACCUUCUGAAGUCUUA